rnacentral:misc_RNA from 1 species
GGGUACAAGAGUGAAGUUUGACUAUCGCAGUGUGUGAUGAUCACCGCCUCGCGAAUGGCGGGUAUUUGUCAUUAGUGAUUCUCGGUCAAUCGGUAUUACCAUCAUCAUCGAACAUCCGGCAGAUGCAGCGGGGAAUUCAGCUGCAGACGGUACUUAAGUAUCAGCAAUGAAGAUAAUGUUGUGAAGGGUCACUUCAUUCAUCCGUCGAUCGCUGCGGUGGGGUGAAAUCAUCGAUGUGAUUAAGUGCAUGUAUAGUGUCUGACCGCAUGUGUGAGUCAUAUUUUACACGUUUUCGUGGUAUUUCAACUGCGUCUAAGCGUAAUUGCAAGACAUGGAGGAAGUGGCUUGAUGGGCUUCGAAGACUUCAAAAGCGGACUAAGCUUGGUGCCACAGUCUGUUUAAUUCUAGAGGUGACACCGCGACUUUUCUAGGACGUAAGAAUAUGGAGCUAAAAGUCUUCCUCGUCCAUUUUCUGCAAUGGAUUAUCAUCGGCUUUGGAUUCGCUACGGCCAUUAGAUACGAACCGACGGCGACGCCGAGAGGAGCCGGGACAUCAGCGAAUCCGAGUGGCAAUCCUUCCAGCGGAUGUUGCCAGUGCAAAUUCGAUGACACCGCCUACCUCAACUCAGCUUGCGGGAGUAUGGCGUCUUUCAUGAUACUUGUUCAGAGCUUGAUGAUGUCCAGAUGCGACAUAGCCGACCCUUGUCGACGGGCCGGAAGGUCGGAUCUACCGGACGGCCAAUGGUACGAUUUUAUCAUCGUCGGCGCCGGAGUUGCCGGACCGAUCUUAGCCAGACGAUUGAGCGACUAUCCGUGGUGGAAGGUGCUUCUCAUCGAAGCGGGACCUGAGGAACCAACGAUGACGGCUUUUCCGGGGCUUGCCUUCAACGCGAUCAACUCGUCAUUGGACUGGAAGUUCUUGACGGAACCAACGCAGCCACACCCGACAGCUUGCUUGGAAAGAGGCGGAAUCUGUGCUUGGCCACGAGGCAAAAUGGUGUCGGGCACCGGGGGUCUCUAUGGCAUGAUGUACGUUCGGGGUCACCCCGAAAUCUACAACAAAUGGGCGCGGGAGGGGAACGUCGGUUGGUCGUACAGUGAGAUCGAGCACUACUUCGAGCGGGCGGAGGCGCCGGCAAAUCCGAAUAUGGUGCGGAGCGAGCCGUUCGCGCGAACGCGGAGCGGCGGCCCGUUGCAGAUCAACUAUUUUCCGCACAAGCCGGACUUCUCCGACGACCUGCUCAACUCGGCAAAGGAGCUGAGCUACCGGAUCGGCUCGCUCCGUGGCUCUAACCAGACGGGUUUCAUGGUAGCCCCGAUGAUGACGAGCGCCGGCCUUCGUGGAACUACUUCGCGGUACUAUUUGCGGCCCGUCUCGCAUCGGCCCAAUUUGGACGUGUUGAUAAACGCUCACGUGACACGAAUCCUCGUGGAGAAGUGGUCCGCGAGGGCGUACGGGGUCGAGUACAUCGACAAGAAUGGGGUACGGCGAGUCAUGAAGACUAACAAAGAGGUGAUUCUAACCGCCGGGGCUAUCGGGUCACCGCAGAUUCUGAUGACGUCAGGAAUCGGACCCAAGGAGCACCUCACUAAGCUCGGAAUAAAGCCUGUAAAGGAUCUGCCGGUAGGAGAAAACCUCCACAAUCAUGUCUCCAUCGGCAUAAAGAUGAGCAUCAAUGACACUCACUACGAAACGCUCACUCUUAGCGCGAUCAAUGAGUUCCUGGCCACCCGGAGCGGGCCUUUAGCUAGCACUGGUCUGACCCAGGUGACAGCGUUUCUAGAAAGCAGCUAUUCGACGGCUGGAGUUCCCGACCUGCAGAUAUUCUUCGACGGUUUUAGUUCAAAGUGCCCUAGGACCGGCCUUCAAACGGAGUGUCCAGAUGGUAGCAUCAACACGUGUCCGGAGCGUCGAGAGAUAGUCGCCAGACCGACGGUCGUCUGUCCACGAAGCAAAGGCUAUAUGAAGCUGCGCUCGCCGAACCCGUUGGACCCGCCACUCCUGUACCCCAACUACUUCGUGAACGAAGUCGACGCAAAGAUCCUCGUUGAGGGUAUAAAGAAGGUCGUCGAGCUGAGCAAGACCAAAGCAUUGCGGAAGUGGGACCUCCGCCUGGACAACAAACCCCAUCCAUGGUGUGCCAGGUACUACUUCGGGUCUGAUGCUUACUGGUCUUGUCUCAUCCGCGUUCAGACUGGCCCGGAAAACCAUCAGGCGGGGUCUUGCAGGAUGGGCCCGGUUGGCGAUGUCCGCGCUGUUGUCGAUCCUGAGUUGAGAGUUCACGGCGUUGAAAACAUCCGCGUUGCUGACGCUUCGAUUUUCCCCAUCGUUCCCAACGCCAACCCCGUCGCCGCCAUCAUCAUGGUCGCCGAAAAGGCCUCCGACCUCAUUCGGGCCGCUUGGAUGGUGAAGUGAGAAAUUCUCGUUCGCCGGUACGAGUUUCUUGUCCCACCGCCAAAAUAUGCCGAUCCUCUCGAGAUCUUCGAAAAUUCGGAAAAGAGAGAGAUCUUCUUCGACUUCUUCUUUUUCUCCUUUGCUCUUUCAUUGGUUAACGGGUUUCUUCGAGAAAGGAAAAGAAGGAUAAUGUACGAUGUAGUGACGGUGAACUGACAUGAUUGUAACGUGCUUUCUAGAAAUAAUAAGGAUUCAAGUUUUGGUUACAAUAUUGUCUAAAAAAAGGUUCUCAAAUGUUGUGAGCUAAGAAGACGAUAUAAUAAAACAAUAACUUUCAUACAUGCAAGUCUGCAUACUUUCAGUCUGCAUAGUCAUUGUGUAUUUUCUGAUGUACCAUCGACUGGUAAUCGAUACAUUGUAAGCAGUAAGUUAGAUAGAUCAGGUUCUCUGGCAGACUCCAACUCGUGUGACCAUCGACAUUAACACUUCACUUCGUGAAAUCGAUACUCUGAUCGAGUGUAAAGAGAGUAAAAAUAAAACCAGUAGCACCGAGCAGCAUUCAAGAAAGAUAAAUAUACGUAAAGAAUUCGAUUCUUUCGUCGGUUCCAAUCGAACGGUUCAAUAGAACUUUGAUAAUACUUCGAUCGAAUGGCACUAUGUUAUAAUUAAUAACGUAGAUCAAUAAUUGUAUAUAUAUAUACGCACGCAUCUGUGAUAAUUUCUUCAGGAAACUGAUCGACUCGUAAAACAAACUUCUGACGACGCACUUGUGGUUAAUAUUGAAGCAAAAAAUCUGCGGGUUGUAAUACCAGUUUGCACAGGUUUUACCGAUGAUCGAAGUGGGGUAAUAUUCAGACGCCUGCUUCCUCGGGCAUUCGUUAUACAUAUAAACUCCUUGGCAGUGCGCGGCAGAGCUUAACUACAACUCAGAGUGAACAGUAUAUGGUAGCUUCCGGAAAACGACUGCUUGUACAACGGGGCAAGGUUCAGGUUAAUUUUAUCGCAAACCGUGGAGACAAACGUCCAUUUUCU